AUUAUCUGCUAAACAUGUGACU
rnacentral:piRNA from 1 species